rnacentral:rRNA from 1 species
UACGGAGGAUGCGAGCGUUAUCCGGAUUUAUUGGGUUUAAAGGGUGCGUAGGCGGGAUGCCAAGUCAGCGGUAAAAAUGCGGUGCUCAACGCCGUCGAGCCGUUGAAACUGGCGUUCUUGAGUGGGCGAGAAGUAUGCGGAAUGCGUGGUGUAGCGGUGAAAUGCAUAGAUAUCACGCAGAACUCUGAUUGCGAAGGCAGCAUACCGGCGCCCUACUGACGCUGAGGCACGAAAGCGUGGGCAUCGAACAGG